UACGUAGGGAGCAAGCGUUGUCCGGAUUUAUUGGGCGUAAAGAGCGUGUAGGCGGCCAGGUAGGUCUGCUGUGAAAACUCGAGGCUCAACCUCGAGACGUCGGCGGAAACCAUCUGGCUAGAGUCCGGAAGAGGAGAGUGGAAUUCCUGGUGUAGCGGUGAAAUGCGCAGAUAUCAGGAGGAACACCGAUGGCGAAGGCAGGUCUCUGGGCCACUACUGACGCUGAGAAGCGAAAGCAUGGGGAGCGAACAGG
rnacentral:rRNA from 1 species